rnacentral:rRNA from 1 species
UACGUAGGGUGCAAGCGUUGUUCGGAAUUACUGGGCGUAAAGCGCGCGUAGGCGGUGAUCUUUGUCAGAGGUGAAAGCCCGGGGCUCAACUCCGGAAUUGCCUUUGAAACGGGAUUGCUUGAGUCCGAGAGAGGAUGGCGGAAUUCCUAGUGUAGAGGUGAAAUUCGUAGAUAUUAGGAAGAACACCGGUGGCGAAGGCGGCCAUCUGGCUCGGUACUGACGCUCAGGCGCGAAAGCGUGGGGAGCAAACAGG